UAAGAUGCAUGCAAGUCAAAGGGUCCUACGAAACCCCGAGGCGUAGUGAAAGUGAGGCUCGCGCUGUGUCCCUAUUCUUACCGCUCCUCUUGGGGAGCGGUGGAUGUGGGCGCGGAGUGACGAGGUGAGAUCCCGUUGUUAGGCACUCUUUCGCUGUGCCUGUGUGUGCACAGUCGAGCCGGCGGGCGCAUCACCGGCCCGUCCCAUGGUGUGGUCAUCGACUACGGCAAGGCUUCGGACGUGCGUGCGUGCCUGCGUGCGUGUGUUCCGGUCUACGCCAGUCGUUGCGUCAUCGGGCGGUGCAUGAGCAUACAWGUUGAGACCCGAAAGAUGGUGAACUAUGCUUGCGUAGGUUGAAGCCAGAGGAAACUCUGGUGGAGGACCGUAGCGAUUCUGACGUGCAAAUCGAUCGUCAAACGUGAGUAUAGGGGCGAAAGACUAAUCGAACCAUCUAGUAGCUGGUUCCCUCCGAAGUUUCCCUCAGGAUAGCUGGCAUUCAUUGGCAUAAUCAGUUUUAUCCGGUAAAGCGAAUGAUUAGAGGUGCUGGGUUCGAAACGAGCUCAACCUAUUCUCAAACUUUAAAUGGGUGAGAGGCUCGACUCGCCCCGCUAUGCUCUGGCCCGCGUGGUCAGGCCUACAGGAGUCGGGCGUUGAAUGUGCGAAUGCCAAGUGGGCCAUUUUUGGUAAGCAGAACUGGCGCUGUGGGAUGAACCAAACGCCCGGUUAAGGUGCCUAACACUGACGCUCAUGAGACACCACAAAAGGUGUUGGUUAAUACAGACAGCAGGACGGUGGCCAUGGAAGUCGGCAUCCGCUAAGGAGUGUGUAACGACUCACMUGCCGAAUUGACCAGCCCUGAAAAUGGAUGGCGCUAGAGMGUCGGACAUAUACCGGGCCGUCAUCKCAAGAUGGGCGGAGUUGGGCCAAMUGCGUUGCGGUUGCGUUACGCUGAUGGUCUGACGAGGGUCCAGGCAUGGAGUGCGAUGGCGAGUAGGAGGGUCUCCGUGGUGAGCGUAGAAGCCUCGGGCGUGGGCCUGGGUGGAGCCGCCACGGGUGCAGAUCUUGGUGGUAGUAGCAAAUAUUCAAGUGAGAGCC
rnacentral:rRNA from 1 species